CCAUCAUCAUUAUUUUAGAUAUUAAUCAUAUUACUGUACUCAUAAACCGACAUUACCCUCUCCUAAAAUCUCUGUGCUCUCCCUCCCCACAGGCUUCUGUGGAUGGUGGUUCUAUCUGAUGGUGGUUGCCCCUGCAGUGGUCCUGCUGUGCGCCUGGCUUACUACUCACAAUUACUUGAAUCAUUUCUGUCAUAGGAAUUGAAUGUAUUAUACAUUGUUCAUUCUGUACACAUGGCAUCCAUUGUAGUCUGUCCAUCCCGGGAGUGGGAUCCCUCCUCUGACGUUCUCCCUAAGAUUUCUUCCCUUUUUUUCCCUCUUGAAAGGGUUUUUUCAUUUUUUGGAGAGUUUUUACUGUGUCGAUGGUGGGUUUCGGGACAACGGAUGUUGUAUGUGUACAGAGUGUAAAGCCCUCUGCCCUCAAAUUUGUAAUUUGCGAUUUUGGGCUAUACAAAAUAAAAUGAAUUGAGUUUAAUUGAAAAUUGAAUUGAAUUAAAUUAACUACAAGGCUAAUUCACAGCAAUUGUCCAAACAGUAAGAAAAGUCCCAACGGGCCGGGGGAAGAGAGGCUGGAUGGGUCAAAUGAACAGAGCACCCGGGAGACAGUUGUUUGUGUCCCAUAUGAAACCAAGUUGAGCUCAACGGAUGUGUUACACAAGGUAACCAACAAUAUCUUCCUAAGCCUAACCAAGUACUUUUAUGGUCUAAGUAGACUACAAACCAACGUUGGAAGUAUAUUUAACAAAGUGGCUGGAUACCUUAAACAAGCAGUGUUCCUGUGAACUCGGAUAUUUCAUUCGAAAAGACACUUAAACGGCUUGAAAAAGGUUUUUUGAAAGUGUUUUUCAAAAUGUUGUGUAUUUGCAUCACCUGUACAAAUGAUACUCAUAGCCAGGUUUAAACCCAAUGUGUGUGUGUGCAUCCAGGCAGGUGCAUCUGCCUGAAGACGGUGUGCUCAUUCUUUGCAGGCACAGAAAAAGAGAAGUCUUAAUCUGGCUCGUCUGGUGAUGCAGCCAUGUGCCGCUUCUGGUGGAGUUGAACCGGAGCCGUAGACAUGUAGGAUCCACGUGACCUACAUGUACAGUCCAUGUGACCUACGACUCCCGGAGGAGCGUGUCGUGCAAGGGGUCUUUUCCCCGCGGUUUGAGGGGCCGUCCGUGUGACACAUAAAGCCAAGUGGUCACACGUCAAGCUGAUUGCACAUCGGAUGCGUGAAAAACUGCAGGAGAAGUUAGAAAAUGGCAAAUGUGUGUUGCGCGCUGCCCGCAGGCCCCGACACCUGCGCUUUCGGCUUGUCCUACCGAUGAACCAAACCGCUUCAAGAAAACCGGCGGGAUUUAUUGAUUGUAUAUCCAAACCGCUUCAGUGUCCCCUUUGUCAACAAAGCCCAGCCAGAGGGAUUUAGAGAAGCUUGUGUUUGAAGUGGGUUUGAUGAAUUAAAGCAGGCUGCUUGCUUUAGUAUCCUGUACUUUAUUUCACAGGUCUGUUGGGCACUUUACAGCCAGGCUAACUCCCCUGCCAAGCCAUUUCCCACGCGGGUUUAUCAUUUCUCAAUGUCAUUUUUAAUGAAUGUGAGACCACAUCAAGUCGUAUCCGUCUCAAAUCAUAAACCUCCGUAUUAAGUUGGAAUAGAUCGUUCAUGGUAGCAGGGCUUUGCUCCGCCUGUUAGCAGCUCUGUAAUUGUAAUAUAUUGGACAAUCCAUUUGAGUUAUAUACAUCAACCGUUGCCCAGUAACAGCUGGAUAUUUUUGUCCUUUGGAGAAGUAUAGUGAAUACAUACCGUUUUUUUCAAAUAUGAUCUCUGAUGAAUUUCUACCAUGACAUGUUUAUUUAAUAUAACAGUCUAUUUUGAAGGUGAAAGCUAAAAGCAACAAUGGGAGAAGGGAGAUUACAAUGAAUAACAACUCUAUAAUGUCGCAUGUCCUCUAUCUCUGGUUUCCCCUCCUCUCUCUAAUCUCAUUUCACAAGGGACAACGGCAAGGAGGAAGGAACUUUUCCCGCGCUAUCACACCAGAGACUACUCUUCCACAAGGAGGGAAAAUGAAGCAAAUAAAUAAAGAGAAAAUCGAAUUCCUUCAGCCGUUGCAGGAGUGUCCCCCAAUGAAUCAGCAGAAUAAAUUCCCUCCAGAGAUAAACAAACAUGAUAUUUUGUCUGGGAGGUACGGGACCAAAGGGCCGCUGUCGCUCUCGUAAAGUUUAGAGCGCUGCGGACCGUAAAAAAUAAAUAAAAGAGCCGCCUUCUCAAUCUGAAAAGCCUCUGGCAGGGAGGCCUUUGCAGCUGGAGCUAUGUGAUGAAAAAACACGGGGAACCUCUCACACACUUGCCCUCAAGCAGGACUUUAACACCACAGAUAUAUAGCCUCAUAUAGAAAGCCAUUAAAGUGGGAUUUUGAAGCACGUGUGUCUCCCCACACACUGUCAACACACUAAGUGCUCGUGGGGCAGAUUUACACGGCUGUGUGCUACACUUUACCUUGAUGCUGUGACGUAUAACAUUGGAGUGUAUCCUGAUUGGAGGGAAAAGUAAAUAACCUUGAGCAGAGAGCCUUUAAUUUAAGAUCUGUUUUUCUUUUUUCUACCUUGAUGAAUAUACAUAACCGUGACGCCACUUGCUGAUCAACCAUGAAAUAUCGGUGUCCACGUGGUGACGUGUGGUUUCUGUGUUGUGGCACAGAGACGAUAACAAGACAACAGUGACAACCGGAGUCAACAUCUAUGCUGUUGACUUUAAAAGGUCAAAGUCUUGUGCAUGUUCUCUUGCCUUUUUCGCACCUGCGGGCAGGGUCACGAGCUGCGGAUGUGAGAGAGCCACUCAUGUGAAGUGAGACUUGAAAAGGGAAAGCUGGAGGCUGUGCGGAAUAAGCAUUUUAGGUCUCCGUAGGGAGGAAACAAACAUGUCCAUCAAUGUGGCAUACCAAUAGAAAAAAGUCCAAAAAGGUUUUAAAAAAUUGAAAUUGGACCGGGGUUUGAACGUCUGAAACACACAGAAAAUGUAAACUAAUUUGUUAACCCCUAUUAUUAUUAUCUAUGUGUUUUCACAGAAAGGGAUGGACAUUUAGUUUUUUUAGCAGAAGAACGCUGAGUCAAACUCCUUAGCUAAAGUUUUUU
ensembl:lncRNA